UACGGGGGGGGCAAGCAUUGUUCGGAAUUACUGGGCGUAAAGGGCUCGUAGGUGGCCAACUAAGUCAGACGUGAAAUCCCUCGGCUUAACCGGGGAACUGCGUCUGAUACUGGAUGGCUUGAGUUCGGGAGAGGGAUGCGGAAUUCCAGGUGUAGCGGUGAAAUGCGUAGAUAUCUGGAGGAACACCGGUGGCGAAGGCGGCAUCCUGGACCGACACUGACGCUGAGGAGCGAAAGCCAGGGGAGCAAACGGG
rnacentral:rRNA from 1 species